GGCCGUCCGAGUUGUAAUCUAGAGAAGUGCUGCCCGCGCUGGACCGUGUACAAGUCCUCCUGGAAUGGAGCGUCAUAGAGGGUGAGAAUCCCGUCUCUGACACGGACUACCAGGGCUUUGUGGUACGCUCUCAAAGAGUCGAGUUGUUUGGGAAUGCAGCUCAAAAUGGGUGGUAAAUUCCAUCUAAAGCUAAAUAUUGGCGAGAGACCGAUAGCGAACAAGUACCGUGAGGGAAAGAUGAAAAGAACUUUGGAAAGAGAGUUAAACAGUACGUGAAAUUGCUGAAAGGGAAACGCUUGAAGUCAGUCGCGUUGGCCGGGAAUCAGCCUCACUCUUUUGUGUGGUGUACUUUCUGGUUGACGGGUCAGCAUCAAUUUUGACCGCUGGAAAAAGGCUUGUUGAAUGUGGCAGCUCCGGCUGUGUUAUAGCUUCAGGUCACAUACAGCGGUUGGGAUUGAGGAACUCAGCACGCCGCAAGGCCGGGUUUCGACCACGUUCGUGCUUAGGAUGCUGGCAUAAUGGCUUUAAGCGACCCGUCUUGAAACACGGACCAAGGAGUCUAACAUGCCUGCGAGUGUUUGGGUGGAAAACCCGAGCGCGUAAUGAAAGUGAAAGUUGAGAUCCCUGUCGUGGGGUGCAUCGACGCCCGGA
rnacentral:rRNA from 1 species